CCUACGGGUGGCUGCAGUGAGGAAUAUUGGUCAAUGGGCGCGAGCCUGAACGAGCCAAGUAGCGUGAAGGAUGACUGCCCUACGGGUUGUAAACUUCUUUUAUAGAGGAAUAAAGUUAGGCACGUGUGCCUUUUUGUCUUGACUUUAUGAAUAAGGAUCGGCUAACUCCGUGACAGCAGCCGCGGUACUACGGAGGAUCCGAGCGUUAUCCGGAUUUAUUGGGUUUAAAGGGAGCGUAGAUGGGUUGUUAAGUCAGUUGUGAAAGUUUGCGGCUCAACCGUAAAAUCGCAAUUGAUACUGGCAGACUUGAGUACAGUUGAGGUAGGCGGAAUUCGUGGUGUAGCGGUGAAAUGCUUAGAUAUAACGAAGAACUCCGAUUGCGAAGGCAGCUUACUAAACUGUGACUGACAUUGAUGCUCGAAAGUGUGGGUAUCAAACAGGAUUAGAUACCCGAGUAGUC
rnacentral:rRNA from 1 species